UAGGGAAUCUUCGGCAAUGGGGGCAACCCUGACCGAGCAACGCCGCGUGAGUGAAGAAGGUUUUCGGAUCGUAAAGCUCUGUUGUAAGUCAAGAACGAGUGUGAGAGUGGAAAGUUCACACUGUGACGGUAGCUUACCAGAAAGGGACGGCUAACUACGUGCCAGCAGCCGCGGUAAUACGUAGGUCCCGAGCGUUGUCCGGAUUUAUUGGGCGUAAAGCGAGCGCAGGCGGUUUGAUAAGUCUGAAGUUAAAGGCUGUGGCUCAACCAUAGUUCGCUUUGGAAACUGUUUAACUUGAGUGCAGAAGGGGAGAGUGGAAUUCCAUGUGUAGCGGUGAAAUGCGUAGAUAUAUGGAGGAACACCGGUGGCGAAAGCGGCUCUCUGGUCUGUAACUGACGCUGAGGCUCGAAAGCGUGGGGAGCAAACAGGAUUAGAUACCCUGGUAGUCCACGCCGUAAACGAUGAGUGCUAGGUGUUGGGUCCUUUCCGGGACUCAGUGCCGCAGCUAACGCAUUAAGCACUCCGCCUGGGGAGUACNACCGCAAGGUUG
rnacentral:rRNA from 1 species